GGUUUUAACCCUUUUACCAAGGUAAUUUGGAGUUCCGACCUUUCGAAAGAAAGUGUUAAACAACUGUAACUUUUGGAACCGCUCUUCCGGGGUAUCCGGUUGGGCAAA
rnacentral:sRNA from 1 species